AUGAACGCUGGCGGCGUGCCUAAUACAUGCAAGUCGAGCGAACAGACGAGGAGCUUGCUCCUUUGACGUUAGCGGCGGACGGGUGAGUAACACGUGGGUAACCUACCUAUAAGACUGGGAUAACUUCGGGAAACCGGAGCUAAUACCGGAUAAUAUUUCGAACCGCAUGGUUCGAUAGUGAAAGAUGGCUUUGCUAUCACUUAUAGAUGGACCUGCGCCGUAUUAGCUAGUUGGUAAGGUAACGGCUUACCAAGGCAACGAUACGUAGCCGACCUGAGAGGGUGAUCGGCCACACUGGAACUGAGACACGGUCCAGACUCCUACGGGAGGCAGCAGUAGGGAAUCUUCCGCAAUGGGCGAAAGCCUGACGGAGCAACGCCGCGUGAGUGAUGAAGGUCUUCGGAUCGUAAAACUCUGUUAGUAGGGAAGAACAAACGUGUAAGUAACUGUGCACGUCUUGACGGUACCUAAUCAGAAAGCCACGGCUAACUACGUG
rnacentral:rRNA from 1 species